GAGUUGUUGACUGGGUUGUCAUAGCUAGCCUGGGCUCUGGAGUGAGGAUGGUCAGUGUUGGGCACAAUUAAUUCAUCCAUAGAAGGAAAAGAUGUUGAGCAAAAUAUCUCAAUGAAGUAAUGGAUUCAAAUGGUGUCAGGAACAUCUAAACAGCACAGCAGUUGCUUCUACAUCAAAUGUGACAUUUGGCAUUGAGGGAGUUGACCCUGAGAGUACUCACCGAUUAACCUCCUAUAUACUGACCUUCAUCUCAGGAUCUGCUUCUUGGAAAAACUGAACUGCAACGCCAUGGUUUAUGUUUUACGUACAAACUGAGUCCGCAUAAAGCUUUAUACAGAAGGGUGACAUCUGAUUUGCAAUUUAGGAGGAGGACUCUGGUUCCUGAUUGAAGAAUGGAUUAUAAUUGGGCAAGGGUGGAGGCCCUCCUAUAACUUUCAAAAGCUGUGAUGGGUUCAAGGGGAGAUAUGUUUAUUCCACUUUGAGCUGUUUCUCAGGAUAUUACGUGCUGUGAUGGAUAUGCUGGCUGGAAGAACAUGCAAAUCCAGCCCUAACACUGCAGAAAAGAUUGUUCCAAAGCAGAAGACUAUGCUUUUACUGAUCGGUCCGGGCAGGACUAUGGAUGUCUUAGAUGAACUGCUCUCCAAGACUAGAUAAGUGGAUGUUGGAGAAUGUUCUAAUAUUGGGCCACUGUUUUUUGCUUUUUGGGUUUCUUUUUUUUUUUUUUUGAGAUGGAGUUUCACUGUUUAGCCCAAGCUGGAGCGCAAUGAUGUGAUCUUGGCUCACUGCCACCUCCAUCUCCUAGGUUCAAGCAAUUCUCCUGCCUCAGCCUCACAAGUAGCUGGGAUUACAAACAUAUGCCACCAUGCCCAGCUAAUUUUGUAUUUUUUUAGUAGAGACAGGGUUUCUGACCAUGUUGGCCAGGCUGGUCUUGAACUCCUGACCUCAGGUGAUCUAUCCACCUUAGGCCUCCCAAAAUGCUGGGAUGACAGGCGUAAGCCGUUCGCCCAGACUGUUUUAGUGUUAUUGUUGUAUUGGGUCUGGGGGAAACCAUAAAAGUGGUUGAUAAGGGUGGACAUUCACACUACUAAUCAUAUGUGAAAGGAAGCGAUUUCUGGAUAAGGAAAUGGGGCCCUCCAUAGCAGGUCUAAGACCAAGGAAGUGAGUUGGGCUUCCUCAAGGCAAUUCACAAUCCAGAGGGUUGCAGCCAGCCUGAGGUCAAACUAACCCAAUUUUCCUCCUAUCCUCUGAAGCCGUAGGGAAAGAAGGCCCUGACCCAUGCAGUCAAGAGAGGUCAACAUCCUAAGCAGAGAACAAAGGUGGAAAAGGGUGGAGGGUGAAUGUGGAGAGGCCAGUGAUGGAUAUGUGGCAUGCAGAUGAAAGUUCGUCUGUGUUGAAAUUCUUGUUUCUCAUAGAUGACGGGUUGAUGGGUGCAGCAAACCACCAUGGCACGUGUAUACCUAUGGAACAAACCUGCAUAUUCUGCAUGUGUACCCCAGAACUUAAAGUAUAAUAAAAAUAUUUUUAAAAAAGAAAUUCAUGUUUCUCGAACUUUAACAUGCAUACAAAUUACCUGAAUGUUUUGUUAAAAUGCACACUGUUUAGGAAGACUGGAAUGGGACCUGAGAUUUCGAAUUGCUCUCCAACUCCCAGGUGAUGCUGAGGCUGCUGUGCAUGAACUACAUUUGGAGCUGCAAGAAUGCGUGACCUAUCCAAUCCUUCCUCUCAUGGAAACACCAACUCAUCCAUGCCCUCUGUGCUGAAACUUCGUCUCAGCCUGCUGGAAUCACCUGCACCCCAUGGGAACUGUAGCCAUAUCUUCAGUCCUGUGAGCCCCCGUCAUGGCCUGUCACAGGAGUAAAUGAGGAGUAAGGCCCAGAAUACUCAGUACCUCUCAAUGACCCUCAGACGCUGUAGGAAGAGGAUUGGUUCACCUUUUAACCCAGAAUUUCUCACAUUGAAUGGACAGGAUGCAUUCCAAGAGGCCAGAGUAUGUGCAUCUCAGCUCCUGAUGGUUUCCACCACCACCAUUACUUUCUCUAUGUCAAGAUACCUGGGAAGCCGGAGACAGGCAGCCCACGCACUGCAGUGAUGAAAGGACUCUCCAACGAGGCAGACAGGAACCCUGCAGUUGGGAAUACAGAGCCUUCUCCUAUGGGAAGACCACAGGAAAAAGAAACACCCAAGGGGGAGGCAUGAGUCUUUGUGAA
rnacentral:lncRNA from 1 species